GCCACAUGAUGUUCGCAAUUGCUAGUGAGCGCUCCGCGCAGUGCUGACAUUUAUCUAUCACCCUUGACUGAUGGCU